GUGCAUGGUGAGCGGUUAUUUACAGUUGCAUUUGUGACUUCUCGUCGGAAGAAGAAGAACGACGAUGGUUGUUUUUGUGGGCGGCGCCAAGGUUGAGGGAAGAAAAGGCUCAUUGGGUUUCAGGGUGCUGAUUAUGGUUUCGGCUAGAAUAUUUUGGUGCGACGGUGACCGGUGUUUCGUGGUGGGAUGGCGGAAACGCGGUUGUGUGAUGGGUGUAUUUUUGCGGUGGUCGGAGUUGGUGACAGACGGAGGGAGCUCGAGGGAGGGUUGGUGUUGUUGCGAAGUUGACAGAGGAGUUAAUAGUGGCGUUUUCACGGUGGAUGUGUUGUUGAGUGAAGAACGGAGGUGAGGGUAUGGACAUCGUUUUUUAAGUUGGAGGAAGAAGAUGAUCACGGCCGGUGGUGGGAGAUCUCUUUUUCAAGAAGAUGAACAGUGGUUCAUCUUUUCCUAUUUUCUUUUCUUUUUUCAUUUUUUUCUUUUCUUAUUUUUGAGAGAGAGAGUCUUUUUGAGAGGGGUGUGUUGGUCCGUCCGUUUUGAGAUGUCAAAGGAAAAGAUUAUUUUCUUUUUUUCGCGUGAGAGAGAGGCUCCUCAGAAUUAGCUGGAGAAGCCAACCCCCCCUUUUUUAUCCUAUUUUCAUUUCUAAAAAGAAAGCCAAACA
rnacentral:lncRNA from 1 species